rnacentral:misc_RNA from 1 species
AUCUCCCUUCUCUCAACUUAUCCAAUCCUAAGCUGCAAUUGCUAAAUAAUUAAACAAGUUCUGAAUAAUGUUGCACCAACUCAAAGCAUAGCUAUGACUAUAUUUGGCAUUUCCAAAAAAGAAAAUGACACCAACUUUUGAUGAUUCUGUAAGAAAUUACCACUGUUUUAAUUGUCCAAAUCCAUAUGUGCUGCUUGACUUUCAUAUUCAUCCCAAUACAGUAGUUAAAAGAAAUCCAUUACUAUAAGCCCAGAAUAAAAGAUUUAAGAGAUUCUAAAUUACCAUUCAAGAUAUCAACACUAUGAUGUUUCAAAAUAUGUGGCUGCAAAAUUUCUAAAACAUUGUCUAUAUUCAAGAAACACAAUUUCCACAAUGCCAUAUGGCUUGUAAAGAAGGCGAAUGAUACUUAAUCAUAGGCUCUCCAAACUGCAUGGUGUUGUAAAUAAGCAGACAACCAUGACCUAAAAGAAGAAGAAUAACAAAGAAGAGGAAGGAAACAGGAGAAACAUUCAUCCAGGGCAUUAUAGAAUUUAACCUGAGGAAUCAAAGAAACACAUAAAGAGCAUGGUGGUAUCUCUGAUUUUAAGAAUGUAAAGAUCCACCAUUUGGCUAGAGUACUUUCUUAAAAAUUGGCUUCCCAGAUAUCUGGCUAUAUCACCACAAUAGUACAGGCAGAUCAAAAGUGAAAUAACUUGCCCUCUAAUACAACUGAAGUUGAGAUUUUCAAAAAUAUCACAGGCAUGGACACAUUCAAGAUGCAACAAACACAUACUAAAUUAUUGAUCUGCAUUACACAUGACCAUCCAUAAAUGGAAGACAUCAAUACAAAACUUGUUAGAUUUUAGGGUUGAUCAAUUUCAAGAAACAAUAAUAAGUCAAAAAGUAGACAAUUGCCUAAUAUGGAUCACAAAUUAAACAAUAUACACAGGUCAACAACCAAAACAAAGAAAAAUGGAACAGUAAUUAAAUGACCAGGUCACUAGUCACCUGAGCUCUAUGCGAGUGGAAAAACUGUCGUUUGUGAAGGAGAGUACGGUUUCUCAGGUCAGACCGUUCAAUAGAUAAUUUUCGUGUCUUUGCAAAUUGCAACAUGGCAGGGGGUGCAAAAUUGUUCCCAGACGCUGAUUGAACACAUUCAGGAUCAGGAUAUGCUUGCGCUGCAGAUCCUGAAACCCCAACAACAUCAAAGCUGGAAGGAACAUGUUCUGUACCUGCUACAUCACCAACGAUGGCAUUAGGCAAAUCCUUCCUGCCUGAGAUACACACAUCUGAAACAAGUCAUCAACUAAAAAGAAAAGAUCCCAUCAAAAGCUUCUUGCAUGAUCAGCCAUAGGGAAAUACUUUCAAUAAAUCUAUUGGAAACAAUUGAAAGGUAUAAAGAAAGGAGAAUUUCCUCAUAGUACAGAUAAAAAGGACCAUCUUACAUGCAUCCACAUUAUGUACGGAUACAAAGGGCCAUUUAUUCGACAUUUCCUGCUCAAAAUAAUACUUGCAACUGAUAUGAUGAUUUCUUUUUUUCUUUCUUUGUCGCGUUAGUUAGCAUCUCAUGGAUCUCGACCAGUGAUUUUAGUCCCAGAUGAAAAAUGAUUUCAAACAUGUUGAUUUACAAUCCACAGCCUAUUAGGGAAGAAAAAGAUGCGACAAUUCUUUGAGGAUGCAAAUAACAGAAAAGCCCGCCUUUCUUGCUGGUCAGUGAAAUUGCCUUUCAGGAUAAAACAACUGAUAUAUGAUAUAAACAAAGGUUGGUUCUUUCUUUUCUAUUUUAGUUUCUUGGUUUCACAUUUCCAGCGUCUCUAAAACUUUUGGGAGUUAUUGUUCGACAAAAUUUAAAUCUCAGCAAAUAAAUUGACAAAAAUAAAUGAAUUAAAGAACAUAUUAGUAAUGCAGUAUCAUGUUCUUCAAAUUAUAUUGAGAUUCAAUUAUAAGGUUGGCAUCCAUCACAAUAUAGAGUAGGGGAAUAAGCAUAAAAUGCAUACCAUAAGCCUUAUCAAGGAUACAAGAGGCUCCAAUACCUAAGUUAGACUCAAGGAUGAAUGGAUGUACAUGAACAAGGUUCUUGUGUCCUUUGUGCUUUGGCUUCUUUGAGCAAAAGAAAAAUGUUUGUUGUUUUGGAUCAACACCAUCAGCAACAAUCUGAAUAAAGCAUACUGGUAAAUAAAUUCCAAGAACAACAAAUGGAGAGGAAUUAACACUUGGCAUUUUGCAUGUGCACAUAACAAUUCCAUCAAUUUCAUACUUUGCAGUUUCAGUCAACAGACUAAUUUUAAGUCUGGAACAGGCUCUUUAGUUCUGGUAGACCAAAUAAUGCCGGCUUACAGAAGAUACUUUUCAGUGCUAAGCAUUUAGGGGUCUAUACUAACAAAGUAAUAUGAUAUUCCUCCCAAGUUGACAAAUGCAGGAAGAAAAAAAUCCUGACCUCUGAUCUGCAGAUAUCAUUCUUCACUGAUAUAUUUACAGCUUGAAACUCUUCAGUUACCUAUAAAGGAUCCAAGGCAUUAGUAGUCACAUUACAGAAAACAUUAAUGACCAGAAUGCACAAAGAUUCCUGAAGAUUGCCAACCCAGAAUUCAAAGUUGAAGAGAUCAUGUGAUGAAGGCAAAUGAUAUCUUAGACCCUUAAAACUAGCACAUUUUACCAAGCAGAAUGGGCAUGAAAAGUCUUCAGUUACUUCAGUCUUUUGCAACUUAUUAUUGUAAUACCUAUAGUUGAAGAUGACAUUUCCAGUCCUCAACCGAAUAAUAUUAGUAAUAUGAGAUAAUGAUGAAGAAGAAAUGUCACCAAAUGUGUAUGAAUGAUAUGGAGAUUUUUCCUUAGCCCCAACCUCUUCUGCAUAGAUGUUGACUUGAAUGCGCUGUGAAACAUUCACAGUUUCAGAAUUAUAUGGAAUUUGAAUUGAAAGGCAUUUGUCGUCAUUGAAACAAUUUAACUUUAAGAAGCAUGAUUUCAUGUCAACCUGAGAUGUUACCUCCACCCUUUGUCCCAAACCCAAGUUUGGAGAGUUCUCCCAUGACAUAUAGAGUGAUUCCAGUGGUAUUGUGCCUAGCAGGCAGCAUCCUCCAACAUUUUCCAAAUGACCUUUGGUUAAAUCAACUCCAUCUCCAUGCAAAGGACUUUGGGCUCCAGCAAAGCUAAUAAACAAGAUAGCAAGUGAACUAGAAUUGGCCUUCAAUGCCAACUUGUUAAUCUCAGGGAGAACAAAAUUUGCUUGAGCUUGGGUAAUUCCAUCAACUCUAGAGAAGUUGGUCAAAACACAUGCUCGACGAAAGCGAUAUACUGCAGAAUACUUCAUUUUGGAAUAAAAAGCAAAAACAAAUCAUAAAAAAAGGUACAACAAAUUGUAGAAUACUACUUCCAAUGACAAUAGAGAACAAAGAAGCAUACCCAAAAAUAUUUCUAUUUGCUUGGCCAAUUAGACUUAAAAGGUAAAGAAAAGAAACAGAUAUAUUUUUACCUCCGGAACCCCAAUGUCAGAAAAUGCUCUUGCCAAUAAAAUGUACAAAGGAAAUAGACUACAAGACAGUGAAUUUCCAUUCACAGUCAUGAAGGGAGAAAUCGUCACUUGUAUUCUACAUAUUCAACCAAAAGAAACUUUAGUACUCAAACUCAUUUCUGUACUGAAAGUUUAACUAAAGAAAAGAAACCACUUAUACAACUAAGAGUUACCAGUACCAUCAAAGUCCUCGGCAAUAAAACGAUAAGAAAAAUAGACAAAUAAGAAGUAAAUGAAAGAAAACGCCAUAUGAGAAUACUCAGGUUGGAUUGGAAGUUAAGAAUUAUACAUUAUAUGAAAAUAUAUACAGAAGUUUUUGAAGCUUUAUAACCUCUGAGCAAGAAGCAAUAAUAAAGAAAAAAAAUUCCUCAGUAUUUUCAGUGCAGAAAGCUCAAAACAAUUCAACGACUGUUUUAAACUAAAAAACUUCGUACUCGAGAAAAAGAUAACUUAGAUUGAAUUAUUAUUACCUCUUUUUGUGCCUUUCUUGUAUUUUGUAGUUCAAACAUCUUUGUAGAAAUGAUGGCUACAUCAGACACACAAGCAUGCAAAAUUAGAAAGAUGACAUGUACUACGACCAGAAAAUGGAGCAUAGACAUAUUGAUAUCCAAAAAGAUUUUAGCUCAAUACAAAGAAAUCCAACAUUGGGACAUUCCUUUUGAUAAAAUUAAAAUCUUCUUUAAAAAAACAAUAACAAUAACUGGCACCAAAAAAAAAAAUAAUGACAAUAAUAUAAUAAAAAGAUGGUUCAAACCAGAUGACACUGAAUACUAAGUUAUCUACAAUGCCAAUAACCAAAAUAUUGAAACUCUGCAAAGUUCAAACCCCACAAGUCGCAAAAAAGUACACAGCAUGAAAUGCUGAAAACAUGGAAAUAUCAACCCACUAAGUGCAUUUACAUUUCUUAUAGCGCGACGCUGGAGGAUGUUAUAGAGUUCCACAGGCUUGCAAUAAAUCGAAAGACUCUCUUCAGCAGCAAUUUCAUCUUCUGCAGAUAAAUGCAGACAACCAUCUUCACAACACAUCUGAUCCGUGCUUCUUGUAUAGGAUGAGGUUUCACGAGCAACUAAAGGGAUGCCCGGCAUUCUUAGUUACACUAUUUUCAGUGUAAAUAUUUUCAUAGCCAUAAAUUGCUCUGUUAACAACAGUUUCACUUAGCCGACAAAAUCCGCACUCAAUUUUAGCUCACAAAAUUGUCUAUUGUGCGUAAUCUGAAACUGAGGAGAGUCUCGAUUCGUAAAUAAUCUUAAGAGGAAAAAACCCUAAACCAAAUCUUCACUGCGGGCUCUCUAAAUUUGGAAUGGUCGAACUGUUUGGUGUUUGGUUCAAUUUCCCAGGAAUGAAAGUUGAAAGGCACACUAAUGAACUAUCGAGAAACCAAACGACA